GGGGAGUGACGUCAAGUCAGCAUGGCCUUUAUGUCCGGGGCUCACACACGCUACAAUGGCCGGUACAAUAGGUAGCAAGACCGCGAGGUGGAGCCAAUCCCUAAAAGACCCGGUCUCAGUUCAGAUUGCAGGCUGCAACUCGCCUGCAUGAAGUCGGAGUUGCUAGUAACCGCGCGUCAGCAAUAGUGCGGUCGAAUACGUUCCCGGGCCUU
rnacentral:rRNA from 1 species